rnacentral:lncRNA from 1 species
CGAAGCCCGGCGACGAUUCGGCGAGUUUAAGCAAAAUGUAAUCUGCUAGAAGUACUCUUGGGUUGGUAGGGAAUAUGUUUAGACCAGUGUUAUAAAACUCGGCUCGAACCGGCCGGUUCGACCGGUUGAAUCGGGAAUCGGACCCUAGACCAGUUCGAGCCGAGCAUCGGAUCGGCCAUGCAAGCCGCCCGGUGUGAACCGAAAAGACUCGGCCGGUUCGGUGAAAAAACCGGUGACGCUGCCUCUUACGGUUGGUCCGGUCAGUUUAAAAAAAAAAAAAAACUCACAGUAGGGUUUCUUCUUCAGUUCUUCUUCUAAGCCUUCAUGCCCGUUCCUUUCACCUAGGCCUGCCGUCGCCGCCUGUCGCUGCCCGGCCUGCCGUCGCCGCUCCACCACCCCACCACCUCGCUUCGUUCUUCUUCUUCUUCUUGCAAGGUGAGUAUCUUCUCCUUUCAUUAAUUUUAUUUCAAGCAACAGAGAUAAAAUGGGUCAAUAUAAGAAGGAAGAAUUCGAAUUUGAAAAAGCAUUUAAGCUCCCAUUCAAGCCAGCCGAAAUCUGUGGAGAAAUAUAAGGGGUCUAAGAAAGGAAAUAACGUGAUUGUGCAUCCUCAUGCAGAAACGGGAACAACAGAUCUGAGCAAUAAUUUCCAAUUCAAUGAAGGAGUCAAUUAUGGAUCUGCAAUGAAUGGUGAACCCGCUGGGAAUGGAAAGAAAAGACCAAGAAGGGAAAUUUCCAAAUGAAUGGAAGAGGGGUGUCCCAAAGGCUGGCGAAUUAUGGCACAACCAGUUUUGUGUAUCAACUAUCAAGGCAUCAUGUUAAUGGUUUUCAGUUGGAAAGUUGGGCAAUUGAUGAUGCCCCUGUCUCUUGUAGGUGCGCUUUGUUUAUUCCAUGGGGCAGGUGGUUUUUCUUGAGGGGUGGAUCAAGAGUUGUUGGUUAGAUAGAAUGGGAGUUUGUACUGCUGAGAAUGAAACUUUGUCUCCCAGUGGGUUUUUCCUUCCCCUGUUCAUGUUCUGUUUUUCCCUUGUGAUGUUAGCCUUCUGGCUUUCCCCCCUUUCCUGUUAUUUUUUUUUCUUUUACCCCUUGUAAUUUUCCAUCUUUCUUAGCACUUCUUGGG